UACGUAGGGUGCGAGCGUUAAUCGGAAUUACUGGGCGUAAAGCGUGCGCAGGCGGUUUUGUAAGACAGGUGUGAAAUCCCCGGGCUUAACCUGGGAACUGCAUUUGUGACUGCAAGGCUAGAGUGUAGCAGAGGGGGGUAGAAUUCCACGUGUAGCAGUGAAAUGCGUAGAUAUGUGGAGGAAUACCGAUGGCGAAGGCAGCCCCCUGGGCUAGCACUGACGCUCAUGCACAAAAGCGUGGGGAGCAAACAGG
rnacentral:rRNA from 1 species